rnacentral:rRNA from 1 species
AAGCAUUGUUUCUAGAUCUGAGUAUAUCAAUAUUACCUUGUUCAGAACUUAAAGAGAAAUCUUGAGUUUAUGGACUUCAGGGGGAGUAUGGUCACAAGGCUGAAACUUAAAGGAAUUGACGGAAGGGCACACCAGGAGUGGAGCCUGCGGCUUAAUUUGACUCAACACGGGAAAACUUACCAAGACCGAACAGUAGAAGGAAUGACAGAUUAAGAGUUCUUUCAUGAUUUAUUGGGUAGUGGUGCAUGGCCGUUCUUAGUUGGUGGAGUGAUUUGUCAGGUUAAUUCCGGUAACGAACGAGACUGAAACCUAUUAAUUAGUUUUCUGCCUAUAAGACAGAAAUGUUCGCAAGAACAGGUGCGUAAGUACCACUUCUUAAAGGGACACAUUUCAA